rnacentral:rRNA from 1 species
AACGAACGCUGGCGGCAUGCCUAACACAUGCAAGUCGAACGAGACCUUCGGGUCUAGUGGCGCACGGGUGCGUAACGCGUGGGAACCUGCCCUUAGGUUCGGAAUAACUCCCCGAAAGGGGUGCUAAUACCGGCUAAUGUCUUCGGACCAAAGAUUUAUCGCCUUUGGAUGGGCCCGCGUUGGAUUAGCUAGUUGGUAGGGUAAAAGCCUACCAAGGCGACGAUCCAUAGCUGGUCUGAGAGGAUGAUCAGCCACACUGGGACUGAGACACGGCCCAGACUCCUACGGGAGGCAGCAGUGGGGAAUAUUGGACAGUGGGCGAAAGCCUGAACCAGCAAUGCCGGGUGAGUGAUGAAGGCCUUAGGGUUGUAAAGCUCUUUUACCCGGGAUGAUAAUGACAGUACCGGGAGAAUAAGCUCCGGCUAACUCCGUG